rnacentral:rRNA from 1 species
CAGGUCAGGCGGGACUACCCGCUGAGUUUAAGCAUAUCAUA